CUCCAGUUGGCAGUUACGUACGUAACGAACAGGAGUGAGUCGGAAAUCUAAUCAAGGUGAAACCAGAAGAAGAAGAACGAGCAGAAACAUUUCUUGCGGAAAUUUUAAAAUAAAAUAACGUUUUUAUUUGAUGAAAAUGUCGUGUAACGAGAAAACAUCUGGCAGUAAGAACAAACACUACACAUUAAUGGAACGAAAAGUGUUUCUACAGAUAUUAAAUGAUUAUAAACAUGUAAUCGAAUUAAAAAAAA